rnacentral:rRNA from 1 species
UUAACACAUGCAAGCCGAGCGGAGAUGAGGUGCUUGCACCUUAUCUUAGCGGCGGACGGGUGAGUAAUGCUUAGGAAUCUGCCAUUUAGUGGGGGACAACAUUCCGAAAGGGAUGCUAAUACCGCAUACGUCCUACGGGAGAAAGCAGGGGAUCUUCGGACCUUGCGCUAAAUGAUGAGCCUAAGUCGGAUUAGCUAGUUGGUGAGGUAAAGGCCUACCAAGGCGACGAUCUGUAGCGGGUCUGAGAGGAUGAUCCGCCACACUGGGACUGAGACACGGCCCAGACUCCUACGGGAGGCAGCAGUGGGGAAUAUUGGACAAUGGGCGGAAGCCUGAUCCAGCCAUGCCGCGUGUGUGAAGAAGGCCUUUUGGUUGUAAAGCACUUUAAGCGAGGAGGAGGCUACCUAGAUUAAUACUCUGGGAUAGUGGACGUUACUCGCAGAAUAAGCACCGGCUAACUCUGUGCCAGCAGCCGCGGUAAUACAGAGGGUGCGAGCGUUAAUCGGAUUUACUGGGCGUAAAGCGUGCGUAGGCGGCUGAUUAAGUCGGAUGUGAAAUCCCUGAGCUUAACUUAGGAAUUGCAUUCGAUACUGGUCGGCUAGAGUAUGGGAGAGGAUGGUAGAAUUCCAGGCGUAGCGGUGAAAUGCGUAGAGAUCUGGAGGAAUACCGGUGGCGAAGGCAGCCAUCUGGCCUAAUACUGACGCUGAGGUACGAAAGCAUGGGGAGCAAACAGGAUUAGAUACCCUGGUAGUCCAUG